UUCGAUAAUUAGGCCACUUCGUGCAAGCGUUACCUCUAAAGUCUACCUCGAAUAUCGAGCCCUUCAGAUUCAGCACCUCCAACAGAUCGGCUAUUCUGUUAAACUUUAGGUCCACGUAGCGCAAACUGUACGCAUCCUAUUGAGCAAUGUGUUUAUGCCACGACCGGGCGUAGCAGAUUCAAAUGAUGUCACGCAAUUACCCUCCAAAUUCAGUUCCUGUAUAUUCAGAUUGUCGAGAUUUCUGAUGCAUUCGAUGAGAUUGUAGGACAGGUCCAAGUAUUGCAGAUACCUGAAGCAAGAUGAAGUUCUCGAAGCCGGAGACGGUCUCUAUAACGUUAUGGGAGAGAUUUAAUCUGACGAUACUCCAACAGUUCCUUAGCUCACCUAUGUCCGUCACGUGAUUGUAAGAUAAAUUUACAUAUGAAAGACUGCUCAAGGCUGAUAAAUCCGAGAUGUUAUUGUGCGAGAUAUCGAGGUAUUGCAAGUGACGGUGGUAUUGCAGCGCGGUAAUGUCGGUGAGAUUCUGCAAGGAGGUGAUAGCAGAACAUUUUCGACGGUACUCUGUUUCGCAGGACGCAUUUGCCGAGGAUGUAAAGGCCGUUCUCGGGUGACCUUGUCAAAAAGGACGAAGCUGGGCC